CAGAAGGAAGGAUUAGAGGAUGCUGCUGUUCUUUGUAGCUGCCUCACCACUAGCCUCAGUCAUACUGGAAGACACCACCAAUAGUUUUAUUACUCUAAUGCUCAUUCUUGUUCUUACACUUAUUUGCCUGUAAGCAUUGGUCAUUCUCAGUUUAUUUUUUGAAAAAUCACUUUUUUAACCUUUUUUUCUCCUCUGUCAUUAGUUGUGUCUUGUGUGUUCUUUAUUCCUUCCAGCUACUGUUCUUUCCUUACAAAGGAUUUGACUUUUGUUAUUAUUAAGUGGAGAUGUGUAUGGAGCACAAAAAUUGGAUCCAUCUCUGGAUUCAGCCUUCUCCAAAACACAGGCACAGUGCAAGACAGAGUUUGUUCAAGCUCAUGUCUGCAUGGAAAAUAUUCAAUCUUGUCUCAAGGAAGGAGUCUGCCUGGACAUGCUGUUAGGCGGAUAGCAGGAGGUUGGGUAAUAAGUCACAGCAAGGGCAUCUAAUCAUCUCUAGAACGUGACAACAUUUGGUUCAGAUUCCCUUAUCAGCAUCACCUUUCCUUCUGCCUCUGCCCCAUCCUUAAAGAAGACCAGGCGGUGGGCCUUGGACAUCAGUCACACGUCGACCACUUCUUUAAACACUUCACGUGGGAAACCAUUCAGAGGCAUGAUUGCUGAGCUACAGACCUGGAAAAUAACUGUCAUCAAGACCUUUACAUCUGUCAGAGGAAUUUCAGCCCAGUGACACUGCUUUGCCCUUAUUUUUUUUUUUUUAUUUUAGUAAGCUCUUGGAUUUUUAUGACUUAAAACUGCUACUGCAGUGCAUUACUCUGGCAGGAGCUCUAUUUCACACAAAUUUUUACACGAUCCUUAGCCAAGAAUUAGUUACACACCUUUAAAAUAAUAAAUAUAAAAAAAUAUAAUAUCUCUAUUAUAUUGUGAAUGGUAAGUAAGAUGAAACUGUCUGCUUUGUUUCAUUUGUUCCUGUUGGUCUGUGAAAAACUCACCCUCCUCGCCAGCAUAGCUGCACCCCUACCAAGGAUGGUUUAAAUCUGAAAAUAGCCAGGAACUGGAGUGAGGACUGUGUUUGGAAGGAGUGUAGGUAGCCUUGCACUGACACAUUCGGCUUCACAGUAACACUAAGACACAUUACUAAAAGUUUUGUUUAAGAAUCAGGACUCAAUCAUGGUGGGAUGUGGCCGACUGCAGAAACAUUAAAUUCACUCGCAUGUACCUGCAUUAAAAAAUGCAAAAUCUGUUACAAGCCUUGCCACUAUUUCACCUAUUUUUGUUUAACCUUUUAGGAUGCCAACU
ensembl:lncRNA